ensembl:snRNA U6 U6 spliceosomal RNA
GUGCUUGCUUUGGCAGCACAUAUACUAAAAUUAGAAUGAUACAGAGAAGAUUAGCAUGGCCCCUGCACAAGGUAGGCACACGAAUUCGUGAAGUGUUCCAUAUUUUU